rnacentral:rRNA from 1 species
GACGAACGCUGGCGGCGUGCCUAAUACAUGCAAGUCGAACGAGAGCGACUGGUGCUUGCACUGGUCAAUCUAGUGGCGAACGGGUGAGUAACACGUGGGUAACCUGCCCAUCAGAGGGGGAUAACAUCCGGAAACGGAUGCUAAAACCGCAUAGGUCUUCGAGCCGCAUGGCUUGAAGAGGAAAAGAGGCGCAAGCUUCUGCUGAUGGAUGGACCCGCGGUGCAUUAGCUAGUUGGUGAGGUAACGGCUCACCAAGGCCGUGAUGCAUAGCCGACCUGAGAAGGUGAUCGGCCACAUUGGGACUGAGACACGGCCCAAACUCCUACGGGAGUCAGCAGUAGGGAAUCUUCCGCAAUGGACGCAAGUCUGACGGAGCAACGCCGCGUGAGUGAAGAAGGUUUUCGGAUCGUAAAACUCUGUUGUUAGAGAAGAACAAGUGCUAGAGUAACUGUUAGCGCCUUGACGGUAUCUAACCAGAAAGCCACGGCUAACUACGUGCCAGCAGCCGCGGUAA